rnacentral:lncRNA from 1 species
UUUGAUGUAGUAGUUUGCUUAGGAGGGGAAUUAACUAGAGAAGAAAAAAAAUACGUAAGGAGGCGGAAAGGAAGAAGUUUCCAAGAUGAAGAUGUCGCGUUGAUGUGGAUGGAAUACGCGCUAUCACCUUUCAGCCGCCCAACCCUGGUCCAACCAUAGACAUAAUCAUAUGCUUUUUCGGUAUAAAUACAGACACAUAUCCUUGCAGAGAAUAACGAACCAACCAACCCCGAUUUCCAACUCUCCAUCAUUCAAUCAUCUUUUCCUUUUGUUCUUUUUCUUCUUCAUCUUCUUCUCCGUCACUAAACAAACAUAACCCGCCCAUCGAGAUGACUCACCAGUCUCCAGCUACAGCUACUUCCGGUGAGUUUUCUCAUAACCAGCUCCUUUCCCGGCCGGCCUGGUUUUGUUAAUUCAUCUCAGACCCGGUUCAUCCACUGUUUAUAUUCCACGGCCAUCAAAUACCCGUGUGACGGUCCACCAUAUUUUGGUUGACUUUUGGUCAUGAUCAGCGUUUUAAUUAUUUGUGUGAUUAAAUUCAGGCGGAGUACCAGCAGCAACAUACCCGCAGCUGCCGCAAUCGUACGCAGGCGGAGCGCCUCCCCCGAUCGGACACCAGCGCCGCGCGAUAAUUUUAAUUAAAUUUGUGCGUUGAAUUAUUAUUAUUAUGUUAUUGUAGUUGCGCUGCAUUGUGCUGCUGCUGUGUGCUGGACGCCUGUUUCUGAGGGACCGGUGUCGAAUAUUUGGGAAGAUGAUGAUGAUGAUGAUGAUGACAAUUAUUAAUUAAUUGUUUCUUUUGUUUUUAGUUUUUUUUUUGAAUUAAUAUAUAGUUUUUUAAAUUGCGCGCCGUGCUUGACUAUCAUACUUCAUCAUAAAUAAUGUAAUGCAAGUUUUUUUGCAGUUUAUAUACCUAUUUUUUCUGCCCACCUUGCCACCUUGGUAUUGCACGACAUUUUUUUUCUUCAAAAACUUUCGAAGGAGAUAUUCGGAUAGCACAACAAUCUAAAUUAAGAAACCAAUCUAAUAUAAUAAAAAAGGAGCGUAGGAGGAGGAAGGGAGAA